UUCAAGUGCGCUGGGGCUUGUCCAGCGUGGUUUUCCAAACUUGUUUGCGCACGCCCAGUGCACAGACCGCCCAGUGGUUUAAGAUUUUGAAAGCCAUUUCGUCCGGCAGCAGCGAAUAACAGCACAGACGCCGGCUGAGACAAAAGCAAGAGAAGGGCACCAUGGAGCUGAAUGAUGGAAACCUUCAGACACUCACAGAAUUUAUGCGCAAAACUCUGGACCCGGAUCAAUCAGUCAGGCGUCCAGCUGAAAAGUUUCUUGAGUCAGUUGAAGGGAACCAGAACUACCCAAUAUUGCUGCUUACAUUAUUGGAGAAAUCUCAAGACAACGUGAUCCGGGUGUGUGCAGCGGUCACCUUUAAAAACUACAUCAAGAGAAACUGGCGCAUAAUUGAAGAUGAACCAAACAAAAUCUCAGAUCCUGACCGAACCACUAUCAAGGCCAACAUUGUACAUUUGAUGUUGAGCAGCCCUGAACAGAUUCAGAAACAGUUGAGUGAUGCCAUCAGCAUCAUCGGCAGAGAGGACUUCCCUAUGAAGUGGCCGGACCUCUUGACAGAGAUGGUGACCCGCUUCCAGAGCGGAGACUUCCACAUCAUUAACGGAGUGCUCCGGACCGCACACUCACUUUUCAAGAGGUAUCGUCACGAGUUUAAGUCGAAUGAGCUGUGGCUGGAGAUUAAACUGGUGUUGGACACGUUUGCGAGUCCACUGACUGAACUCUUCAAGGCCACCAUUGAGCUGUGUCAGACCCAUGCGACGGACAUCAAUGCUUUGAAGAUCCUCUUCUCGUCCCUUACUCUGAUUUCAAAACUCUUCUACAGUCUCAACUUCCAGGACCUUCCUGAGUUUUUUGAGGACAACAUGGAGACCUGGAUGUCUAAUUUCCAUAACUUGUUGACCUUGGAUAACAAGCUACUACAAACAGAUGAUGAAGAGGAGGCAGGUCUUCUGGAGCUGCUCAAAUCUCAGAUCUGUGACAACGCUGCUCUUUACGCCCAGAAGUACGAUGAAGAGUUCCAGCCUUACCUGCCUCGCUUUGUCACUGCUAUCUGGAACCUGCUGGUCUCCGCAGGCCAGGAGGUCAAGUACGACCUGCUUGUGAGCAAUGCUAUUCAGUUCCUGGCAUCUGUGUGUGAAAGGCCCCACUACAAGCAUCUGUUUGAGGACCAGAACACACUCACCAGUAUCUGUGAGAAGGUCAUUGUGCCCAACAUGGAGUUCAGAAGUGCUGAUGAGGAGGCCUUUGAGGAUAACUCUGAAGAAUAUAUCCGAAGAGAUCUUGAAGGAUCAGACAUAGACACUCGGCGCAGGGCUGCCUGUGACUUAGUGAGGGGUCUGUGUAAGUUCUUUGAGGGCCCGGUCACAGCCAUCUUCUCUGGCUAUGUGAACUCCAUGCUGGGGGAGUAUGCCAAGAACCCAGUGGUGAACUGGAAGCACAAAGAUGCUGCCAUCUACCUGGUCACAUCUCUGGCCUCUAAAGCUCAGACAGCGAAGCAUGGUAUCACCCAGGCUAACGAGUUGGUGAACCUCACAGAAUUCUUUGUGAACCACAUUCUCACAGACCUCAAUUCCCAAAACGUCAAUGAGUUUCCAGUGUUGAAGGCUGAUGCCAUCAAAUACGUCAUGAUCUUCAGGAGUCAGUUGCCCAAAGAGCAGCUGCUGCAGGCUGUCCCUCUGCUGGUGGCCCACCUACAGGCGGAGAGCACAGUGGAGCACACCUACGCUGCCCACGCCCUGGAGAGACUUUUUACCAUGAGGGGCCCCAACAACUCCACACUUAUCACUCCUACAGAGAUGGCCCCCUUCACGGAACAGCUGCUCAACAACCUGUUCAAAGCCCUGGCUCUGCCUGGCUCAUCAGAGAACGAAUAUAUCAUGAAAGCCAUCAUGCGCAGCUUUUCCCUCCUGCAGGAGACCAUUGUUCCUUACAUCCCCACACUGAUUGGCCAGCUCACUCACAAGCUCCUCCUAGUUAGCAAGAACCCCAGCAAGCCUCACUUUAAUCACUACCUGUUUGAGUCCCUGUGCCUGUCUAUCCGGAUCACCUGCAAGGCCAACCCUACCACUGUGGGCAGCUUUGAGGAGGCCCUCUUCCCAGUCUUCACUGAGAUCCUACAGAAUGACGUACAGGAGUUUGUGCCCUACGUGUUCCAGGUGAUGUCUCUGCUUCUGGAGAUCCACACCAGCUCCAUCCCUAACUCCUACAUGGCCCUGUUCCCCCACCUGCUGCAGCCCGUGCUUUGGGAACGCACUGGCAACAUCCCCCCUCUGGUGCGCCUGCUUCAGGCCUACCUGGAGAAGGGGGCUGCCACCAUAGCCAGCUCUGCUGCUGACAAAAUACCUGGUCUGCUAGGAGUCUUCCAGAAGCUCAUAGCCUCCAAGGCCAAUGACCACCAAGGUUUCUACCUGAUGAACAGCAUCAUAGAGCACAUGCCCACGGAGUCCAUUGUUCAGUACAGGAAACAGAUCUUCAUUCUCCUCUUCCAGAGACUGCAGAGCUCCAAAACGACCAAGUUCAUCAAGAGUUUCAUGGUUUUUAUCAAUCUGUAUGGUGUCAAGUAUGGAGCCAUUGCUCUGCAGGAGAUCUUUGACAGCAUACAGCCAAAGAUGUUUGGCAUGGUGCUGGAGAAGAUAGUCAUUCCAGAGGUGCAGAAGGUGUCUGGCCCAGUGGAGAAGAAGAUCUGUGCCGUGGGCAUCAUCAAGAUCCUCACUGAGUGCCCGGCAAUGAUGGACACAGAGUACACCAAACUCUGGACCCCCCCUGCUCCAGGCCCUGAUUGGUCUGUUUGAGCUGCCAGAGGAUGACAGCAUCCCUGACGACGAGCACUUCAUUGACAUUGAGGACACAGCCAGUUACCAGACGGCUUUCUCCCAGUUGGCCUUUGCUGGGAAGAAGGAGCACGACCCCAUCGGCGACGCUGUCAGCAACCCCAAGAUCCUGCUAGCGCAGUCCCUCCACAAGCUAUCCACUGCCUGUCCUGGGCGGGUCCUCUCUAUGUUGAGCACCAGCCUGAAUGCUGAGGCCCUCCAGUACCUGCAGGGUUAUCUCCUGGCUGCAUCUGUGCAGCUCGUGUGAAGACAAGACGGCUUCCGCUCUGAUGCGUAAUGGAGACCAUGACAAUGCACAAUGACUGGGCACGGUCUGUCGCCCAUGGGCAACACUGGGACAGACUCGCCAGGACUGAGUGGACAGAAGACUGACUGACUUUACUCAUGGUGGAUACUUGGACAAUGGGUCAACAUUUUCAUUUAUGAAUUGGAAUUUCUAUGAUUUUAAGUGUUAAAAGAAAAUGCAUUUAAUAUGUUACCUUUAAUGAGCGCUCCAGAAUAUAUUUUGUAUUUUGGGGGGGGGGCUCGGUCCCUAAUUGGCUUGCUGUGCGGUUGGCAAGUUGAGCAAGGCUGUUGUCACCAACACUCAGCUUUGUGAAUAUAAUACUUUGAUAUGACUGUUUCUGCUUGUUUGUCGAUUUGUCAGUUAUAACAACGGCUAGUCAUUGUUCUAGAAUACUGUCAAUUCACAAGUAUUGGCCCCAAAACAUUAUGCUUAAAGGGAUACUUAGAGAUUUUGGCAAUGAUUUGCUCUAUUUCCCCGGAGUUCGAUUGAACUAGUGGAUACCAUUUUUAGGUCUGGUUGGUAUGAAGGAAUUUAGAGCUAGUUUUGCAAACCAAUGCUAACUAACCUUAGAUACCCGUAGACUUACUCUGGGGAAGUAGAGCAAGGGCCUCAUUUACAAAAUCCUGAGGUAUCCCUUUAAUGUUUUUCUGCAUGUAGCUAGUCAUAGCAUUGUCUUUUUUGAUGUGAAUAAAGAGGCACUUGUAUAAAACCGGUGCUGUGUAGCACUUUCAGUGACAA